AUUAGAAUCACGCAGAAAGUCCAGACGAAGAGCACAUGGAUUUACGAUUUUGAUCAAGUCAUGGAAGAACAAAUUUAGAUUCGCGUAACGAUGAAAUAAAAUAUGAAAGUGCUUGUUAGACAGGCAUUCGAUUAUUCUUGUUUGGGUCUUGGAAUCAGCAGGAACAAAGAAACCUAUGCAAUGGCAAUGACAAAAUAAGCAACUGGAAAUUAAACAACCACACAGCAGCCGCCUUUAAAUAUAACGAUAUCUUCUUCCAAAACUGUUCCGAUCAUUUACAUGGUGUUUAGAACGCGAAAAGAAGUAAGAAGUUCUAAAGUUAAACCAGCAUACUUAAUG
rnacentral:misc_RNA from 1 species